rnacentral:rRNA from 1 species
CUAACAUAAGAGGUCUAGCCUGCCCAGUGACAAAGUUUAACGGCCGCGGUACCCUAACCGUGCAAAGGUAGCAUAAUCACUUGUUCUUUAAAUAGGGACUUGUAUCAACGGCAUCACGAGGGCUAUACUGUCUCCUCUCUCCAAUCGGUGAAACUGAUCUCCCCGUGAAGAAGCGGGGAUUCAAAUAUAAGACGAGAAGACCCCAUGGAGCUUUAAGCAAUAUAUUUACCUUCAUAUAACAACACCAACUUAAUAAAAAGAACUAAAUAUUAGCUUUAGGUUGGGGGGACCACGGAGUAUAAUUUAACCUCCAUGACAAACGGGCUACGCCCUUAUCCACGAGCCACACCUCUAAGAAUCAAUAAACUGAUGUUUAAUGACCCGAUAUAUUCGAUCAACGAACCAAGUUACCCUGGGGAUAACAGCGCAAUCUACUUCAAGAGCCCCUAUCGACAAGUAGGUUUACGACCUCGAUGUUGGAUCAGGGUAUCCCAGUGGUGCAGCCGCUACUAAAGGUUCGUUUGUUCAACGAUUAAAACCCU